rnacentral:rRNA from 1 species
CCUACGGGUGGCAGCAGUGGGGAAUAUUGGGCAAUGGGCGCAAGCCUGACCCAGCAACGCCGCGUGAAGGAAGAAGGCUCUCGGGUUGUAAACUUCUUUUUUCAGGGACGAAGCAAGUGACGGUACCUGAGGAAUAAGCCACGGCUAACUACGUGCCAGCAGUCGCGGCAAUACGUAGGCGGCAGGCGUUAUCCGGAUUUACUGGGUGUAAAGGGUGUGUAGGCGGGAAAGCAAGUCAGAUGUGAAAACCAUGGGCUCAAACUGUGGCCUGCAUUUGAAACUGGUUGUCUUGAGUACUGGAGAGGCAGGCGGAAUUCCUGGUGUAGCGGUGAAAUGCGUAGAUAUUAGGAGGAACACCGGUGGCGAAGGCAGUCUGCUGGACAGCAACUGACGCUGAGGCGCGAAAGCGUGGGGAGCGAACAGGAUUAGAUACCCGAGUAGUC